rnacentral:sRNA from 19 species
CGUUACGGUUUGGACUCAAGAUGCUUUGGGCCGUAGCGAGUACGACCCGCGCACAAGGGGAUCUGACCAGCGCGGGAGGGAUACCCACGUAGCUCCAGUUAGACCGCGCCUAGGACACUGCCGCUAGCCUAGGAGGAGCGCCCCGAAAGUGCUACGUGUGGCCGACCCUGUCAGGGCCGAGGGACCGCCAAGUCAUAACCUCGAAGACGGCCAGCGCAAC